GUGUAUUAUUAAAAUUGUUUUCAUUUUAUUAUAUCCUAUCAUAAUGUUCUUUAUUAAGUAUAAUUUAAUUUCUAUUACAAUUCUAGUUAUUGCGAUUUGGGUUAUGCCUACUUUAGCAAAUCCUUUUUUUACGGCUCUUCUUAAGGAUUAUCUUAAAUUUCAAAAUGAUCGUGCUCUUGAUCCAAAAGUAGAUUAUCAAA